UAUCAGUCAUGCAUAGCAUAUCAAUAAGCGGAGGAAAAGAAACUAACAAGGAUUCCCUUAGUAACGGGCGAGUGAAGCGGGGAAGAGCUCAAAUUUGAAAUCUUCAAGGUUUUACCUUGACGAAUUGUAGGUUUAAAGAAGUGUUUUCUGUUGAAGUUUUGGUAAAAGUUCUUUGGAAUAGGACAUCAUAGAGGGUGAGAAUCCCGUAUUUGACCAUUACUUUCAGCUUUGUGAUACACUUUCAAAGAGUCGGAUUGUUUGGGAAUGCAGUCCAAAAUGGGUGGUAAAUUUCAUCUAAAGCUAAAUAUUGGCGAGAGACCGAUAGCGAACAAGUACCGUGAGGGAAAGAUGAAAAGAACUUUGAAAAGAGAGUUAAACAGUACGUGAAAUUGUCAAAAGGGAAGCGUUUGACACCAGUGUUGUUUUCUCGAAAAUCAAUUAAAAAGAGUUGGAUUUUGUGUUGUAUUGACUUUAUCAGCUUUCUUCACUCCUUUCCAGCUUUUUUUAAUGCACUUUUCGUUUAACAAGUCAACAUCAGUUUCUUUUGUUGUAAAAAGGUCAUUGGAAGGUGGCUUUCUCUUCGGAGAAAGUGUUUAUAGCCUUUGACUCAUGCAAUCGGAGAGACUGAGGUCUGCAGCGUAGAUCCUUCGGGGUUAGAUACAUUUGUGCUAAGUUAUAGCUUUUCAUAGACAACUUGUUGACUAUGUUUAGUCUUGUAGCUUACUCGCUUAUGCUAUUUUACCUACGCUUAGGAUGUUGAACUCUAUCACACACAG
rnacentral:rRNA from 1 species